UAUUUUUAGCAGAGAUGGGGUUUCAUCAUGUUGGCCAGACGAGUUUCAAACUCCUGACCUCAGGUGAUCCACCCACCUUGGCCUCCCAAUGUGCUGGGAUUACAGGCCUGAGCCACCACGCCCGUCCAAGGUCUGCUUUAAAUCCAAGGCAAAGGGCACACUGUCCUACUUUCAUUGCUUGCAUCCAACUGCACUAUAUUUAAAGUCACUGCUGCAAGGCUCUUUGCUGAAACUCAAUUCUCCCUUGUGUCUGGGGCUGCCAUUGGACACUUGCCCCACUGUUUAAAGAACUGCCUUUUUCAAAUUUAAGCAGCUCAGAAGACAAAUGAUGUCACUCUUAUCAUUUAUACACCAAAUUAUGAGGGCUCUGAGAAAAAUGAACAGAAAGCCCCGUCUUUUUCUGGGGUUCUCUCCCCUUAGCAAUCCCAGGAACCUCUAGGAAAGGUUACAUAAAUGCAGGAAUCAGUCCUACUCAUCACCACUGCUUGUCAGGGGAGUGGGAACCCAGACUUUCCCUUGAAAUCCAAGAUUAAGGAUAAAAUCCUUUAAUGGCAAAAGUGAGAAGGAGGACUCUGCUCUGGUUCCAGGUCAAGGUGACGCUAAGUAACCUUACUAUUUAACUAGUUUGUUAAUUCAUAGAGUUUGUUUUCUGAAGCCUAUGCCACAAGACCAUGAAAAUUAUGGUGACUAGGAAAUCCCUUUGUUUGGUCUGAUUAGAAAAAUAUUGAAGAUUGUACAUGAAGAACAGAUGUAUGUGAGACUCCUAGCAUGGCCCUAGUAGAGGGCCAUGACUGUUCGCUGAUGAUGUCCACCUAAGCAAGGCUUUGUUUACCUCCCCCUAGCUUACAUGGCUGACUUUACCAAAAAAGCUUCGGGUGGAAAUGGGUGUGUGUGAGACAGCAAUCCUGAUUUUAUGAUUCUCAGGUCCCAGAAGAAUAGACGAGACAAUGGACCAUAUUUCAAACUGCACAUUUUCUUUAGGCCUCACUCACCCUUUAAUAUAAAUGUUUUAAUCAAUUGGGAUACAGGCUAUUGAUGAGAACUUCGGGGAUUGGAACUCUAGCUCAGUGAAGAAGAAACAAGAUAAAUCUCUGUGCAGAUCAGUAGAACAGUCAGAGAUGAAAGGGUUUAGAAAGCAGAUGGCAGUAUGAGAAAAUUCAAUAGCUAGAGUACAAUAAAUGGAGUGCAAGAGGGUGGUGGAACGCAGAAUGCAAGCUUGACCUUCUCUACAACUUUGCCUGGGGCCCUGGUGACAGCUGUUAACUCAACUUCUCUACAUUUUUGCCAACAGAGCCACUUUGGAAAAUAGAGUACAUCUGCCAUGAUUCGGUACAAUUUCCACUAGUAAAAAUUCUGAUUUGUUUUCAUGUCUUCCUGAUUCUCGCCAAUGAAAAGAAAAAAAUAGAGACAAGCCAAUUACUCACCUAAACAUUCCCCCUUGUCAAUACGAUAUUGGCAGAAUUUCCCUAGUUGUGUAUUCCCAACUCUUACUUUGAAGCAUUUAACCAUUUAUACAACACUACAUAUUAUUAAGCCUCUACUCUGAGCCAGGAAUCAGAAAGAGCUAGAGAUUUACCCUCAAACAUCACAAUGUCCCUUGUUUAUCUGUGCUAAGCUGGUGGCCAUGAAUUUCUCUCAAUGUGGAGUUGUAGGUUCUUUAAGCCACUGCCUACUAUGUAAGCAGUAACUCUUCAUAUUGUUCCUACACUUACCUCUUUUGGACUACAGAGAUUAGAGUAUAUUAGUAUUAUAAAAAACAGAUAAAAAUUAGUCUAAGUAAGCUUAUAUUCUAGUGAAUAAAAUAAUUGACAAAGAAAAAUAAAUAUCUAAAUCAAAUAGUGAUAAGAAAUAAAGUAUAAGUUAAGUAAGGGGCUAGAGAAUGACAGUAGAGCUGGUGACUUAUUUAAACUGGUGGUUAGAAAAGGCCUUUCUGAGGAAGUAAUACUUGAAUCGAUAUCUAAAUGAAGUGAGAGAAUAAACCAGGUAGAGAUCUGGAAACAGUAUUCCAGACCAAGGAAAGAGCAAAAAUGCAAAAAGCCUGAGGUGGGAAUGAGCUCGUCAUACUUCAGGAACAGCAAGAAAUCCACUAUGGCUAAUAUGGAGUGAAUAAGGCCAAGUGAUAGAAGGUAAGAUCAGCAACAAGCAGAGGACAAAUCAUGUGGGGAUGUAGGAAUCUAAAAGACCUGUAGGGAAAUUUUUGAGUAAUUUUCUAAGGUCAGAGGUAUAAUUUGUCCCACUUCCCCUAUACUCCACAGAGUAUUUUAAAAGUAACCUAGAAGCUAAGGUCACCCUAAGUUUCUGAAGUCAAAGUCUGUCCUUAUAUCUUAUAGUCCCAGUUAUCAUCCAUUAUAAAGUAGACCACAAAGUAAGAGCAGAGCAGAAUGAGAGAAGGAUGAGUAAACCCUAAAAGGAAUGAGAUGAGUAAUAAAAUUUUGAAAAGAAAAGCUACACACUGGGAGAUUUAACUGAAAUUUUAUGCCAUGGAAAAUGUGAUAGGAUCCUAAUGGAAUUAUCUUUAUCCUGUUCCUAAAUAUGUCUUUCCAAUAAAUGUAUAGUCAAUUUUAUUUUUACAGAUGUGUAAAGAGAAGACUCUGGAAGCUCAGUCUUUCAUGAACAAUUCCCAUAUAGUGAGUCCUCAAGGAGUGGCCAGAGAAGGCCCUCAGUUUGAAGGGAUACCAAGUUGUUCGCCUUGCAUGGAGCCUCAUAUUUCUGGGUCCAGCCCUAUUGUCAUCUCACUUUCUCAAAUGUACCAAGAUCCAGGAAGCUCUUGCCCUAAAUGGAAAUGAAGAUUCGAUCCCAGCUGAUCCUAAGUUCAUAUCUGAGAAAGAACCAACAGUGCUGGCCAACAGCCCAUGAAUACCAGCCAGUAUGAUCGAGGAUACAGAAGACCAGACCAGUGGAGCUAGACAAAACCAAGCAUUCCAGUCCAGGGGCCUUUUGCUCUGGCCGCCUUCUGACCAUUGCCUGCCUGCCUGCCUGGAGAUUGAUAGGGUAACCAGGCAGCCCAUUAGACCUGCUUAUCUCAGCACCCCGUGGCUGGCUGGCUGGGAACUGGCCCGCCAGUGUCUACUUCAUCACAAGCUCAGCCUCUGGCUGUCAGCACCUGGAGCUGGGCCAGUGGGGCCCGGGUGGGGCAGCUGGUACCAGACACCCAGGCCUGCUCUGUGUCCUCCCCCUACUAAUAAAUGACUUUCCUGGCGCUGCCACCACAUGGAUCAGUGGCAGCACAGACUCCCUGUCGGCAAGACAGCCAUUUUUCUAUGCCUGAUUGCAGCAUGAAAAACAGAAGUUCCCUUGGAUUGUAGUUUUGUGUAAAUGCUUUCUCACACAUUUUCUCCAUCAUUAACUAGUCAUAAAUCAAUCCAGUAAGCAACUAUUUUACCACCCUGUGCAGUUUUCCUCAAGCCCUUCCAGAAUUGGGCUAUGCUGGAGGAGUCACAAAGGGAAUUCAACAAGAGCCUGCAUGCCUCUCUCAGCACGCCUUCCCCUCCACUCUCAGCUGAAGAUGUAGCUUUGCACAGGCCCCCACCCUGAGUGGAUGUUGAGUGCUCCUUCCAUGUGACUCCACAAAUCUCUGCCCUUCCCCAACAGAGAAUGCUCUGUACUGUAUCUAUUUGUUCACCUGUUUGUUUCUGCAGCAAGGUUGUGAAUUUGAGGGUCUCUCUUGUCCACAGUUGCACGCUCAACAUGUAGCAGUAGACCCGGUACUGAUGGGUUGGUCAGAUUAGAUUAGUUAAAUGAAUAAGUGGGUGUGAUAUCUGUACAGAAAUCCUUUAUAGCAGCUACCUUUUGACAUUCUCACUUGUAGGUGUCUGGCUCCUCUCCAAAACAAAGAGCUGGUUGUCGUCAGGGGUUAUGUUUUGGUUCCUUUGUAUUCCCAAUGCCUAGAACAUUAAUAGGUCAGGCACGAUGGCUCAUACCUGUAAUCCCAUCACCUUGGGAGGCUGAGGUGGGAGGAUCCCUUGAAACCAGGAGUUUAGGACCAAUGCCCAGUACAUUAAUAGGAUAUGAAGUGGCUGAAUAAGUGAAAAGAAUAAAUUGAAGUGAUUAAUGGAUCUAGGUUUGAGACUGUCUUUAUAUUUUACUCCAAUGUCAACACAGGGCACCAGAGGGUAUACAACUGUAUGUGUUUUAUCAAAACUCACAAAACUGUCCACUAAACAGGGUGAACUUUUGCUGUAUAUAAAAUAGCUUAAUUUUUUAAUGUGAAAGAGUAUUUAAAAAUUACCAGAAGGCCGGGCGUGGUGGCUUACACCUGUGAUCCCCGUACUUUGG
rnacentral:lncRNA from 1 species